UAAAAAUCAGGAUAGGACCAAAGUUUUCAGUUUCUCAAAUGUUGUUUGCCAGUUUCACAGAUAGGAUGGAAAGGCAGACAGUUAGCCAGAGGCUAUUUAAGUGGGUGUCUAAUUGCAUUAAGUUUGUUAUGAAUUAACCAGAUUAGAUCUACCAAUUCAGGCUAGAGAUCAUGCCACCACCAGAGUGCCGGCAGCCUCUGUGGCUUCCCUGAGAAGUGUGCCUAUCUCUGAAAUCUGGAGGAGACUGGGGAUCAGGCCAUACAUUUACACAACAUUAUUCUUUGGUCGACAAAUCAAAAUCUGAUGUUUGCAUUCACAGAGCUGUCCUGUAAUCAUUAUUUCAGGUAGUCUCCAAGUACUCUCACCUCCUACACAUCAGGUCAUUGCUUGUGAGUCAUGACAGCAGAAAACAUAAGGAUGUCAAGAAAGGAUGUCAACUAUGGAAAUUUCCAUUACGAGGGUUUCCCUUUGGCAGAAUAAAAUGGUUGCAGUAACCGUGUGGAUUCUCUGAGAUGUUGCCCAACCAGCUCUCCUUCUCACUGCUGUGUAGUUUUAUAACACCUGAAUUCUGUAACGGAAAAAAAAAAAAAAAGAAAUCACUCUUGGUGGAAUGGGUGGUGGAUAUUUAGGGUGCAGGUGCAGGCUCAGUGGAUACUGCUGGCCAAAAUAAUGCAAGCAUAAGUAUGUGAAAUUCAGGCAUGCCUAGAGUGAAGUAGAAAUGGACAAUGCAUCUGAAACAGCCAUGGUUACCCAGGAUUGCUUUGUGACUGGCAUCCCCCCGCCCUGCACGACCAUGCCAGAACUGUGGAUAAACAAUGGGAUACCCUGGCACUGGGAUGCAUUUUCAUAAUGAUGAAAAAUGAAGAUUUCACAGAUGGUGUGACUCAACCUCCCACUUCAAAGGUGUGAAGUAAGUGUGAAAGAAAAGGAGAUAAGAGUCUGUAGCUGGGACGCAUACACUACUUUGGGUACAGGGUCACUGAAGGCUAAUCCUUCUCCUCAUCGUCCAGGACAGGCCUACAGAAGAAGAGCAAGUUUUGAUCUUGUGGGUCAUCCCAUCACCAAAUGACUCUGUGGUGUGUGCCUGAGGCUGCUCAGCUAAACUCUGCUCUGUGCAUGAGCCUGUGGCAAACCACAGCUUAGCCCUCAGAGCAGGUCUUUGUUAUCACCUGGCAGCAUGACGUCCCACACAUAUCUUACUUUGCUGAAAGGGCAGAGUUAACAUUUAGGUCAUCUGAAGAGACAUCAGCCACAGUCAAAACCUUGUGGACCGUACUUCCUCCAUCACCCAUGGCUGAAAAAAGAGGCUGUGUCCAUACUGCAGGGGUGUGUAAGACCAACCCAACAUGUUAAUAUCAUUCAGUUUCAGGUGCCCGGCUACCUUCCUCUGCUUCUCCAUGUAUAUCUCCUGGGUGUAAUUCAGCACUCCUGACUUUAAAUAUAUAAUAUUAAAUUGUCUAAAUCUAAUCUACUUAUUUUGUCUUUGAGUGGAGAGAAAUAGGCACAUUCAGCUGGUGAUUCACCUACCCAUCUGAGAUACCUAUCUUGUAAAAGGAUGAUUUGCCUGUCUCCUACCAGUCACUGAAGAUAGAGCCUGAACAACUAACUUGUGAACUUACAGAGGUUUUAUGUUACAUGAGAUUAAUCCAUGCCUAGGCCCUUACUUGUGAACUAUUUGGCUGUGGAUCAUAGAUAUGAACAAAUAUUAUUACAAGAAAUAAAAUGUAGGUGAAAGCUUACCUUUACA
rnacentral:lncRNA from 1 species